ensembl:lncRNA
UAUAGAAUGACUAUUAAAAGUCAGCGAGUGUCAAUAAUGUUAAUGUGGUUAUGUUAGUAAUACACCGAGUGCUAAUAUAACAGCUUUAAGAUGCAUUUGUAGAUAUUAUUACAUGUUUUACCGUCUUUAUGGUGCUAGCUUAAAGUUACGGUGUAAACGUUAGCUUAUAUUGUAGUAAAGCUAUUACUGUUUAAUCCUGCAUGACAAACCUCAGGAUGCAGUUUAUUAUUACUAUUUCCUGCUGGCACACCUGGCACACCUGAGAGUCAGCUAGAAACUUACAGUGACGUGGACAUCAUGCAAAGACUGCCAGACUCUGUAAUACUGUAAAUGAUCAGUGACUCAGGUUAACACUAAACUUUAAACAGUACCUCUGUGUCUUUGUGUGUGCUGAACAUCUAGGAUUGAGUCAGGCUGCAUUGACUGUGGGACUUUUCUGUGUUAAAAGCAAGUUGAAGACGGCUCAGAAACAUUUGAAGAUUAAAAUUUAGCAUUAUGGCUGCUCGUGGUGUGUAAAGCUUCUACUCAGCUGUAUUUUUGUUACUAAUUUAUGUUUGUUGUUGCUUAACACAGAUUUCAGAAGAGCAAAUAUGAGCACUGUUGCUUAAUCUUUAAUAGUUUAACUGGAUUGGAAAGUAAAAAAAAAAAUCCACAUUCUUCUUCCACAGAAGUUUCAUUUGUCAGUGUGUGACUGCUGAGUCACCUGAAGAACUCAUUUCAUUCUCCAUGAUGUUCAUUUACAGAAAUGUUUCACAGGAACUGAUUCCUCCCAAAGGGUGAAUUAGUGUGUUUCCAUAAUGAUAUGUUUUUCAUAUCUCGUUAUGAAUGUACUUCUUAAAUGAAGGCAAGUGUUUGUCCUUUUUUGUUCCUCAGGUAUAGUACGUGAUAUUAAGGGCAGGCGGUCAACAUUGGGGGAAGAAAAGAAGCAGACGUACUUCCAAGAGGGAGCUGCAGUGAGGACACAGCCUGGUCACUGAGGUCAGAGGUCUGUCACGAGACAUUCUUACAUAGAAGAGACUGUUAAAGUCUCUAACUCAGUGAAGCAUUAGUGGUCCCGUCUGUUUGGAUAAAUAUAGAGGCGCUGAAAGGUUUCCCUAAUAGUUCCUGGUGAAUCAAAGCAGGACCAUAAAGGUUGCUGGACUGCAUGAUGGCCUUACCCCUGAGAGGUCAUCCUGUUAAAGGAGGAAUCAGUUAGAAGCUGUUUUUAAAGUAGCUGAGCAGAUUUCAUCUCAACAGACAAAGCCGAUGGCAGAAGAUGUUUGGAGAAGAACUUCAGGCCGUGUACUGAAAAGUAGAUCAAAGCAGCUCGUGCUCUUUCUGCUUCCAUUUUGAUGGCAAGAAGAAGAAAAAGAAGAAGAAGAAGAAGAAGAAUGCUUCAGCGAAGUGGCGUUCAUGGUCUCAGUGGACAGUCAUGGUCACACACUGCAUGUGGUUUUAUAAGCAAGGUGUCUGUUCACCACAACAAUGGAGAUGUGUAAUAUCAGUGCAGCUACGGUUUGUUCUUGAACAUCAGUUCUGUUUUAUACUUUGACCACUUAGACCAAAAAAGUGUUGUUUUCAGAUUCUUUCUUAUAAAUCUGUAAAGCACCUGCUCAUUUUUUAUUACAAUUAGUUUCACAUAAAUGUUAGUGUUUCCUUUAUGAUCUUUUAAUGCUUACACUACACUGUGCACAUCUACAUUAGAGACAUUUCUGUUACCUAUGUAUGAGACUGGGCUGCUUGACUACGAUUUGGAAAUGGAUGCAAAAUCACACGGAUCGUGCUAAUGUUUGUUUUUUAAUAUGAUGGACUGAACACAGGAGGUAUCUGACUAAGCAAAGAUUAGUCCGAUCCCAUUUCUACCUGUCUCUACUGUUUCAACAUUUCACUGAAGUUUGCUCAACUGUACCUGUCAGGAUAUAUAUUUAUUCCAGCUCUCAUAGGGCAAAGGAAUGACUCAGACUUGUCAAAUGUUCUUUGACUUGAUACACAAUAUGAAGUUCACAAUUUUCUUACAAAUAAA